ensembl:lncRNA
CUGGAGAGGUCUAGAGGGAGGAGGAGAGACAUGCUGGGGCUGGAGAGGUCUAGAGGAGAGAGACAUACUGGGGCUGGAGAGGUCUAGAGGGAAGAGGAGAGACAUGCUGGGGCUGGAGAGGUCUAGAGGAGAGAGACAUACUGGGGCUGGAGAGGUCUAGAGGAGAGAGACAUACUGGGGCUGGAGAGGUCUAGAGGGAAGAGGAGAGACAUGCUGGGGCUGGAGAGGUCUAGAGGGAAGAGACAUGCUGGGGCUGGAGAGGUCUAGAGGAGAGAGACAUGCUGGGGCUGGAGAGGUCUAGA